rnacentral:SRP_RNA from 1 species
GCCAGGUGCGGUGGCUCACGCCUGUAGUCCCAGCACUUUGGGAGGCCGAGGCAGGAGGAUUGCUUGAGCCCAGGAGUUCAAGACCAGCCUGGGCAACACAGCAAGACCCUGUCUCUA